CUCUUUUCGAUUUCUUAUUUUUAUCGUUGUUAUUCUCGUGUUCUGAUUGCUUGACGUGUGGUAAUUAACAGAUAUCCGGGUCCUCUGGGAAACUAGGUUUUUCUUAGUUUCCUUAUUUAAACGGAAAUCGACAGUGCGAAUUUCGGUUCCCACACAGUGACAAUAAUUUAUUAUAUGUGUUCUAAAUAGAAUAUAAUGACCACUGAGAUGCUGAAAAUUCGAGAUAUUUCAAAACAGAGAGUAGCAACACAUGUGGAGUUCCUCAAGUCAACUCAAUCAUGCAACUUUUAAACUGUUGAAUAAUAAAGGAAACGAAGGAAAUCUUUUUUCUUUCUUUUUCACAGAUACGAGCGUUUAAUCAAGACUUUCAAAGUGCAAAACUAUUUCGUAGUGCAUUAUGGCUUAAUAGAGGAUCUAGAAGUUUCAAAUCUCCAAUCAUAGGAUUUCCACUCAUUCUAUAAGGUGUGUGUAUACACACCUGAUUUGAUAUGUGACAACCUAAGUAAGAACUUACGACAGCAUGUGACGAAUUAAAGUUGUUAAGAAAAAAAGCAAAAAUUAGGUGAUGGUUUGUGGGCAAAUUGCAUAUAUAUAGUACUUUUCCACUUCAAAAGUUGUUAAAGUUGUUAACAUUACUCUCUCCAUAUUUAGAGGGUGAUUGGUUGCGGCUAUAGAUGCUCUAGAUAACCAAAAUUUAGUCUAAAAUUAUAUAUGUCAACCAAUCGAGCUUUCUUUUCUUUAAACAUCUCACAGUAAAAAAAAUCUCUACAAAAUUAAAAUAUGGUUGUAGAGAGCUUUAUUUCCAGAGCAAAAAGUGAUUUACAAAACUACAGCAAAAUAAUUUACAUCAAAUAAAUCUACAACUUAAAUACUACAGCCAAAAACAUAAAUCUACAGCUCAUUCCAAUCACGCAUGAACAUCCCAAGGUUCUUAGGGAGGUUUUCUGACAAAAUGUAGACCCCACUGACGCGUGGGUCCCACAAAAAUUUUUAAAACCACUCCCCAAAAUCAUCAAAUAAGGAUCGGUAAUUGGAAGGUUUUGAACUGUUUGUGGACUCCACCGAUACGUGGCGAUCCGCGAUUGGUUUAUUUAUUUAUUUAUUUUUUUUUUUUAAAACUUAAAGACCCCUUGCGAUAAUCAUGGUUUAAUACUGACACUUUGUUCCAGAUUACAUAAUAGUUUUCUUUUUAAUUUUGAAGGUAAAAUUUAUUAAUUCUUAGGUUAAAUUUUUUUUUGUAGGUUAUUUUUUUCAUUAAUCAAAUUAUAAAUAAAUAAAUACAUGAUAUACUUUAAAAUAUAGAAAAUAAAAUGUUUUUUGUGUGUACAACUUUAAAACAUUAACUAAUAAAAAUGGAUGGAAUGUUAUAUUCAACGGAAUGAAAAAAAAACUUGUACAAGCUAGUUUAGAUAGUAAAAACAACUUUAUUUAACAAUUUUUAGAUUACAAAAACAUUCAGAUGCGCAAUUUCCAUUUUAUAUCGCCUCCAUUUUUCGUUUAGAGAUCGUUUUAGUCAUACCGAAAUGCAUAAUCUACAAAAUGCUUUUGAAGUGUGUUAGACCAAGUCUUGGUGAUGAGCUUGUUGGAAGCUUAUUUUUCAUGGUUAGAGUCUCCUAACGAGGUUUAGAAUAUGUUCACUAGUACUAAUUAAUUCACAAUGACGUCAUGCGUUUAAGGUUGUAAAGGUGUGUGAGCAGUGAGCACAAAAUAUUGCACAGUAAUUAGAUAAAUAAUGCUUCAUGAAAUCAAGAAGAAGAAUACUGUAACCUUGAAAUGGGAGGCUUCUAGGUUAUUUUUCACUUUGUAGAUCCGGGGAAGAAAAAGACAAUUGAAAUGAAUGUGCGUGGGGUUAUAAUGGAUGUCUUACUUGUACCAUACGGAAUGGUCUCUAAAAUUCUAUUGGGAGGUGGUUCCUAUCAUGGAAACUGGUCAGUCAAAAGAUCCAACGAAAGCUCGUUCGUACUGUACGAUGCACCUCAAUAUUCACUUGGUCUCAUACGAGGAAAGGAGAAUUCAUACACCAAUCACCAUAGUCAUAGAGACAAAGUUGAUCGACUCUUGUGGCCUCCAAUAACAAGCAGAAGAAAGACAUUAAUGCAUGUUUUUAUGUAUACUUUCUGGUACAAUGUCACAUGUUCUACGUAAAAGAGAAAAUGUUUUCGACUCUUUAUGAUUGCAACAACAACCGUUCAUUUCUUUUGUAUAACAUUUUGGUUUUCUUUUCAUCAACAAAGAACGUCUACUAGGACUAGUUGAGUUUCAUCAUGUGAAGUCUCUUCAUGCUUUGGUACGGACAAUGGAAGUUCUGAAUCAAUAAACAGAGAAAUAAUUCAUUUAUUAAAGGGACUUGCUUUUAAAAUGGACAUCAAUCACUUUGUAUUGAGUAUCUUUUGUAAUUGCAGGUGUAAAAGAGCAGUAAUAUGCACUACUGUGGACUAGAGAAAUCAGAAAAUAAAACAUUUAUAAUCAACAAGUAGGCAAUUUUUCUCCUUGCAUGUUGACGUUUCAUAGAUUUCCUCUGUUUUUUUUUUUGAAUAAAUGUUAAAUUUUAUUUAUCCAAAACUUUUGUACAUGAAAUGUAACUUUGUGAUUGAAAUAUAGAGAAUUUGACUAAGCUUCUAUAUUAUAAGUCAUCCUCUUGUACCAAACCAUACCCAAAGCCCUGCAUCCAUCUUAUGAUCACCUUUGUCUCUUGAUAGUAGAGAGUCUGUUUCUGACAUUUUUGUCAAUGGUUUUGAGCAAAAGAGUAUACGGAAGCUCUUUUGUCAAUGGUUUUGUCAAUGAUUAAUGUGUAGUUUCACUUGGUCAUGUUUGAUACUUCUUUAAUGUUACUUUUGAUAUCUCAUAUCCAUUUAAGUGGAGGAGAGGUAUAUUGAUACAUGGAAAAAUAUAUAAAUGAUGAGCUCCAUUCAAGUUUAAACCAAAGAGCAGGGCCCAAUUACUACCAACUUAAUUUCUCUUAAGAUGUUCAAAGCAGAACUUUUUUUGUUGCAAAUAAUUAAAUUUUACAUAUACUAAAAAUUGAAAAAUUAGUUGCAAAGUAACCAAGUGAUGGUAUACUAAUGACCUAAUGAGUUAUUUAAUGGUUAUAUCUAGACCAUUGUUUGCUCCAUACGCCAUUAUAUUACGGGGGUUAGUAUGAGAUUUUGCAUUGAGAUUCCUUCCUUGAUUAUAAGGGAAAUGACAUGUAUGAAAUGCAUUGUAUUGCAAGUAAAUACGUAAAGGGAAACUCUUAGAAGCCAAUGAACUAUAAAAAUUGGUUGAAACAUGAAACUGAGCAUACAAGACAACUUCUAGUAAAUGCCAAGACACUGAAGUUCUGCAAUACUUCACACAUGUAAUAACGUUUGGAACAUGUGACCAUGUUUGUAACUACCUAUCACUACACUCUACACACCCAUGAAACAAAGGUUACUACACGAUUCAUAAAUUUUUUAUUCUAGUUUGGAAGCCCCAAGAAAAAAUCUAGAGUCCUAGACAACCUUAGUUCCUUUUAAAGUUUCAAACUUGUAAAUCUUAGAGAAACAUGAAAGUGUGGUUGGAAUCAUAUUGUAAUACUCAUGCUGUCUGUUUACAAAGAAAUGUUGCGUGGCUAAUAUCAUCAUCUCACCUUGCCUUAAUUUACCAGUACAGUUUAUUUUUAAAUUAUUGCUGUCACAUUUUUAAAUACCCUAUGCUCUAUUACCAAUGCAAACAUAGAGAAAGUUAGAAAGCUAUCUCAAGUAAAAAAAGCUCAGGAACCAAAAAAAAAAGAAGAAGAGAUAGCUCGUGCUUAUAAUCUUGUUCUUCUUCUUAUGUCAGUCCAUUUUCACAUGCCUCUUGGCAUUAUACGUUAGAGGUGAUAACAAACAAAACGACCUUAGAAAAUGGGAAGAGAAUGGUACAACGGAGGCAAAUCCAUUUGUUACUCUAAAAGCAAAAACAAAUCCAAUGAAGCUUAAUGGCUGCAUCAAUGCUCUUUACCAACUUUUCCAUCAUCACUACCAACCAACUUUUGAUUCUCUCUCAAGAUAUCCAAAAGGCUUGGUUGCACCAAGAAACAGCUUGGAGUUAACAGAGGAGUCUACUCUAUCAAAAGGAAAAAGAUAGCUUCAACAUCCCUGUAAGUCAACAUUAAUGGAGCUGAUGGAGACAAGUUACAAUUCAAAUGCAGCUGAAGCGGGAAAAAAAAAUCAAAUCUCAGAGCUACUCUUCCACACAUCCUCUUAUUACUGCAGCUCACCUAGCGCCAAGAAACCAAACGUGGUGGCAAGACCCAUGGGUCUUGAUCUUGUUCCUGAUGACUUAGACCUUAGUAGAUCAUCAAGGAAUCGUGUAAGAGGACAUAGACUCACUGGGAAAGGCUCAGGGACAAGAUAAUUACCUGAGAGCCCCAGGGUCUCCUCUGCUCGGAAGUCUGAUGCCCGCCUCUCGCUUCAGCUAAACAUAGAGAGUAACCAUGAAGAGUUUGGACGUUGGAGACUGAAAGAUGAGGAAAGUUCAAGUCCCAAACAUAAGGAGACUUGGUAUGGAUAUAACAAACUUGCUUGGGAACAAAAGGGCAGUAGCAGCGGAAUACCUGUCUGAACCUAGGACAGUGAGAAGUUGACCGUUUCAAAAGAUUCCAAGAAGAACAAACGUUCACUCAGUUUCUAUCAAACAAACUUUGUAGAUGAAAGGGAAUGCAGAUACGAGAGAAGCUCUGGAGUCUGGUCAGAUGUACAAACUCGAGGACUAGCUUCCUCAAGAACCCCCAAGAAUCGUUACAGGACGAACCAAGUUCGAUGGUUUCGAAUAUCUUCACGCGAUGAAAAAGCUGGACGAAGAAGAGGAAAGGGUCGUUGUCGCAGAGAUUGAACGGCAUAUCUUAGACGCGGCGUUUAGUAACGCUAUUUAGAUUUGUGGCGGCCGCCGUGAGGGCUUUGAUAUUCCAGCGUCUGCGUUUUAUUUAUUAACGACUAACGAGGGACUCAACGAUAAAAUCUCGAAGGUGUAGUAACAAUGUGCGUUUCGCAUAUCGCGUUUGCAAUCGCUAUUAUGUUAUAACCAUCAUCGGAAAUUACCAAAAUGCAUAUCAUUUGCGUUAAUACUUGUCGUCUACUGGGUUGUAGACUUGUAGUUGUGGGCCUUGUGGCUGAUUAAAAAAUCAUUAAAUGUUUGGAUUUAAGAGCAUGCAUUACUGAGAGCUAUUUUUCUUAUUAUUUUUGAGCAUCUUCACGGGAUGAAAAAGCUGGACGAAGAAUAAGAAAAAUAUUCUCGCGGUGAGUAUGUAUUAUAUACAGUAACUUUUUGCCAGCUACUGAUAUUACUAUUAGUAUAAGAAUUAACACGAAAAUAAUACAUACUUCAUAUAUUAAGACUAUAAAUUCUAUUAUACAAAAAAACUCAAAUAAAUUUUCGACAAAGAAAGACAAAAACCAGAUCUGCUAAAGGGAGAAAAAUAAAACAUGUAGUAAGAUAAUUCUUACUAGGCGUUUCCCACAAUUUUGCGGGUAGUUAUAUUAUAUAAAGAAAUAUAUAAUAUUUUUACACUGUUAUAAUUUUUGAAUAAUAAUUAAAAAUUCUUAAUUUUUAAUUUCAAAUAUUUGGAUAAUCAAAAAUUUCAGUAUAUAUUUUUAGAAGAUAUGUGAUAUUUAAAAUAGUUCAAAAACAUAAACCUUAGUCAUUAAAAAUCUUUCUCUUACAUAAAAGAAUAUUAUAAUUAAUUCAGAUAAUUGACUGUACUUUAUACUUUAGUUUAAUACAUGAAAGCCAAAAAUAUUAUAGCUCUCAAGAGAAAAAAAAAAGAAUAUGUUUUUUUGUGUAACUCCAAUAUGACUAAUACAAUGAUCGGAGGCUUUUAGCAUGAAAGAUCUUUUGUAAACAGUUUUGUGUGGACUUUAAAUAAUUCCUUAUCUACAAAUAUAAUUCUUUCAUGUAAUAAUAUAUAACUAUUAAAUUUAUUUCUAUAAAAAAUGCUAAAGUAUUUUAUUUAAUUAUAUAUAACCAAUUGAUAAAAAUAAAGAAAUUGAUAAAACAUAUAUAUUUUUUCUCUAAUUCUACAAUUAGUUACCAUAAUCGUUAUUUAUAAUACCAUUUGUGUUAUUUGGUAAUUUGUAUUAAUUAGUUCUAGAGUUACCUUUUAUUUUUAGAUCUGAUUAAAAUAAAAACUAAUAAAUGUUAACAACCAAUCAAAUUAUAUCUAUUUUUAAAAACUUAACCUAUUAAAGACAUAUAAUCAAAAGUCAAUUAAGUGGUUUUUCAAUUAAUAUAUAGUAGGAUUUAUCUCUUUAAAACUAUGGACAAAUUUGGUUAAGGUAAACAUAAAAACAUGUAUUAAGAAAAUGAUAGUUUAAGCAAUUUUUCUCAUAAUUUGUUCCAAAUCACAAUUUCUCGCUCAUUUUUUUUAAUUUAGAGUUUAAUAUAAAACUCAAAAGGGUUAAGCAAAUAAAUUUUUCCGUAAAUUAUCUUUGAUCAUCACACUAUUUUAUCAAACACUAACUCAUUCAACCAAAUGUUUUUAAUUAAAACUAAUCAUAGUUUACGUAUAUUUUAAAAUUAUUGUUUUAAUUUGACUGUUUUAUAAUUAUAUAUUUGACUAUUUUGCAUUCAUUUGACACAUUUUUAUACUAUAUAUAUAUAGUGAAUGAGUAAAUUUUAUUAAUAUUAUUAAGUUUAAAUUAAUUAGUUUUCUAAAAUCUAUGAUUUAUUUUAUUCACUACUAAUAUAAACAUAAUAAAAACCGUUUUUAUAAUUGCUUAUAUAGUAUCAUAUGUAUUUAUACGUAUCUUAUCAAUUUAUAUAAUGUAAUCUAGAUAUUUAAUUAUUUCUAUAAACAAAUUAUGUUAAUUCAUCAUAUUUAAAAUGUUUAAUUGUAUGUCUGAAAACAUAUAUUAGAUUAGGUAAUUCUAUGAAUUGUUUCCUUUUAAAAAUUUUAAUUAAAUAAAUGAAAAACCAUCGACCAAUCAAAUUGUAACAAUUAAUUGAAAAACUCUUUUAUGAGCGACACAUUAGCAUAAAUCACUAAAGUGACUUCUCAAUUAAUAUAUAGGAGGAUUUAAGAUUAUUAAUUAUAUGUUUGGAAACAUAGAGUAUAUUAUGUACUUUUAUGAAUAGUUUUAUUUUAAAAAUUUUAAUUAAAUAAAUGAAAGACCAUCAACCAAUCAAAUUAUAUCAAUUAAUUGAAAAGCUCUUCUAUGAGCAUAAAUAAAUAAAGUGAUUUGUCAAUUAAUAUAUAGGAGUAUAUAUACAUUACCUUAUUCACGAUUCAUUCAAACAUCGAUCCACACUUAAAAUUAUACACGUCCGGACAAUACGAAAGCAAGAACCAGUUGAUAAAGAUACGAAUAUAUCAUUACAUUUGACUUUCAGGGCGCAAUCCGAUGGACAGCUCAGUUUCGACAUCCGAUAUGUUCAUGUUACCACAGUCACACGAAGGUGCGCUCUUCUCACUCUUCAGGCUCCUCGACUGCAUCCACAAGGGCUGUGCUUCAAACUAAAACGAUAACAUAUUAUUUUUCAUAUAUCAAAUCCAUGUAAGAAGAAAACUCAACAGUGAGAGUUGAAAAGUAAGGUCCGUGUUUAAAAUUCAUGCUUGUGCAAUGUGGAGUAAACGAAUUAAUGCAUGUCCUUGCGUUAUGUAUAUAUGCGUGUGUACCAUUUGCCGCAGCCUACUUCCCUCGUUGAAGACCUCUUUCUCUUUUGCAAUCUAAUGGAUCGUAAAGUCACACAUUUCACAAAGGAGAAUUAGAAACAAAAUCCCUUAUAAAUUUAAACCUAAUUAGUAAUAGUACCUCUUCUUUCAGUUUCUCUAUCUUAUCUUCAUUUAACUUAGCCUGCCAAUAUCGUAAAAUCCGGAAUCAUGAGCUCAUCAUUUCGAUUUCGACGAACAUUAUUUUGCAACACAUUAUGACAGUGUAUAUAUAUAUAUGACUGUAAUUAUGAGAAUUAUAAGUAUUAUUUAUUUAUUUUUUGUUAGAACUAAUUGCAUAUAUAUAUAUAUACCUUUCUUGAUCUGACAUUGGUAAGGCUUUUCUCAAUUUUGGAAAUUAUCUCGUUGAGUUCCUCCACCGAACACGAAUCCAGAUCUUGUCCCAUCAGCCUCCUAAAGAUGUUGUCGGAGUGUACAUAUAAUACGACCAUAUAUUGCAUAUCAAAUAUCAAGAAACCAUAGAUAAGCAGUUCAUAUAUAUAUAGAAAGAUCAGACACUUACCGGCUAUGAAGUCGACGAAGUUCAAUCUUGUCAGCCAUUAUCACCAUUUCAUUUUUGAGCUCCUGCACAUAUUGCUGUUUCCGGAGAUUCUCUGCCCCAAAGUACUCAUUCCUAUGUAUCUCACAUCUCUCCAUCAUCUUCUGCAUGCUGUAUACAUUUCCAAGAACCUCUUAACUAUCAUUUAUUAGCAUAUACAUAGUUAAUUUCCGAAAAUUUCAUGGUCAAGAAGAGCAUUCACACAUACAAAAUUCAUGUUUUGUAAACAUAUUUGUUCUAACCUGAAAAUGUUAGUCAAAGAUCAAGACAUCUGUUCUAGUAUUUAAUUAAUACACGUUCUAGUCACGCUUGACAUUAUCUCAUGAUUAGUACAAUGGAAAACUCUGAAUGAUAUCCCAAGCAGAGAUGAUAUACAUAGUAAUGUUUUCAUUAUGUUUUCCACUUCCACCUAACCGGACGGGAUGCCAAACAUUUGAGACAUUAUGCAUCUAAUAAUUUGAGUGACUUGGUUUCCUAUAUUAUAUACUUAGUCAUGAAUGAUACUUAUGCACACUCAAUUUAACUGUUAACAGAUUUAUUUGCUUUAAGUGGUCAAAUCAAUUAGUAGCCUCAAAAUUAUUAAUGAAAUGAACAUUUGUACGUAUUAGAGGUUUUUUGGUUGCUUAUUUAAGCUCACUCAAAUGUCGUAAUUGUCAAUUGCUAACAAAGGAGACAGUGAUAAUUAGUAGUAGAACAGUUAACUAACAAAGGCUGCAAAUAUAUGGGUUGGCAAAUUUUUUUUUGCUAAAUGGUUGGCAAGUUGCUUUGUGGUUUGAUAAUCAUUGGUUGUAGGCUUGGCCAUUGUGGCAUCAUACCACAAUUUAAGAUCGUUUCGGAUUUGGUGUAACCGUGUAAGAAAUUCACUGACCUCUUAAAUCAACAUACACAAAAAUUAAGAAAACUAUCUAGGGCUAAAGUUUGAGACCAUGGCACAAAGCCAUAAGAUAUUGUCUCAUACAUCAUGUAGUUUUCUUUUGAAUAAAAAGAAAAAUAAACGUUUUUUACAACUGCAGUUGCCUAAAAAUUUAAACAAAACACCAUCUAUUAGAGACAAAGAUAGAUGAGCCACUCUACUUAUCAUCAAUUGGUUUUAGGUUGGAAGUCAUCUAGCUUAACAUGAUAUCAGACCCCGAUCCAUGCAGUUCAACCCGAUCCACAUCAACCCAAACCAAAGUUGGCCCUCGAUCCUUGCCCAAACAUUUCGAAAUUGACUCUUAAAGAACCAUCAUCUCGAGGGGGCGUAUUAGGGAGAAAAGUCUCACAUCAGUUGUUGGAAAGAAUCCUUAGUAAUAUAUAAGAUAGAUAGACCACUCCACUUAUCACUAAUUAGUUUUAGGUUGGAAGUCCAUCUAGCUUAACAUCAUCAUCGUCAUCAUGUAGUUUCAUGUUCUUAAAACGGUCUAAUUGUACAUUUAGGGUAUUUGUUAUAUGGCAUGAUCAGUGGAUCACUGAGUUUUCUUAUAUAAUUAAAAUAACGUGUCAAGUGGUGUCAGCAGAAGUUCCAAUGUAUACUAGGUUCAAAGUUCAAGAACAUUUUUUUGGGAAAACCCUAAAUCAGUGCUCGUGCUUGAAGAAGAACUUGAUACUCCAACAAACACAUUUAGUCAAUUAAUUUGGUUUUAUUUUAAUUGAUUAAAUAAAAUUUCUUGGUACUUAAGAAAAAACUAUGUGACUAAAGAAAACCAAAGCACUUUCAAAGAGCAUAUUUUGGGGAAAAUCAAACCCAAGAGCUGCAAAUCUAGAAAUCCCUAGUACGAUUACUGAAAAUAGUCUGACUACAUAAACAAAACAUCACAAAUGACUGUAUAUGUAAAUGAGUUUUGGAUUAAAAGGUUCAUAAAUGAUAGAUACUUACUCGGAGCUAGCGAAAUCAUAUAAUCUUCCUUUCUGAGAAAAGACAAUGGCGGCGACUUGAGCAUCGCAUAGAACAGAAAGCUCGUGAGCCUUCUUGAAGAGACCUUUCCUACGCUUGGAGAACGUGACUUGUCUACUCGUCAAGUUCUCGAUUCUUUUGAUCUCGAUCUUCCCUUUCACCAUCUUCCUGCCAUGAUUAGUGAAUCCUUAAGAAACCCUAACAUCUGAACGAUUGUUAACUGAGAAAGGAAACAAAAAAAAGUUUCUUACAAGAAUAAGGCGAACUUACUUGGAUCUGAAUCCCCAAACCAAGAAAUGGUUUCUUGAGAGAUCUAAAGCGUAGAUCAGUUGUAACCCAAAAGUCAAAGUGAAAACUUCUCCAAGAAGAAAAAAUGUCCCAAAAUCUGAAAAAAAAAUAAAGAAACC